rnacentral:rRNA from 1 species
UGUUUCGGCUAGGGGGUCAUCCCGACUUACCAACCCGAUGCAAACUACGAAUACCGAAGAAUGUUAUCACGGGAGACACACGGCGGGUGCUAACGUCCGUCGUGAAGAGGGAAACAACCCAGACCGCCAGCUAAGGUCCCAAAGUCAUGGUUAAGUGGGAAACGAUGUGGGAAGGCACAGACAGCCAGGAUGUUGGCUUAGAAGCAGCCAUCAUUUAAAGAAAGCGUAAUAGCUCACUGGUCGAGUCGGCCUGCGCGGAAGAUGUAACGGGGCUAAACCAUGCACCGAAGCUGCGGCAGCGACACUAUGUGUUGUUGGGUAGGGGAGCGUUCUGUAAGCCUGCGAAGGUGACCUGUGAGGGUUGCUGGAGGUAUCAGAAGUGCGAAUGCUGACAUAAGUAACGAUAAAGCGGGUGAAAAGCCCGCUCGCCGGAAGACCAAGGGUUCCUGUCCAACGUUAAUCGGGGCAGGGUGAGUCGACCCCUAAGGCGAGGCCGAAAGGCGUAGUCGAUGGGAAACAGGUUAAUAUUCCUGUACUUGGUGUUACUGCGAAGGGGGGACGGAGAAGGCUAUGUUAGCCGGGCGACGGUUGUCCCGGUUUAAGCAUGUAGGCUGGUUGUCCAGGCAAAUCCGGAUAAUCAAGGCUGAGGUGUGAUGACGAGGCACUACGGUGCUGAAGUAACAAAUGCCCUGCUUCCAGGAAAAGCCUCUAAGCAUCAGGUAACAUCAAAUCGUACCCCAAACCGACACAGGUGGUCAGGUAGAGAAUACCAAGGCGCUUGAGAGAACUCGGGUGAAGGAACUAGGCAAAAUGGUGCCGUAACUUCGGGAGAAGGCACGCUGGUGUGUAGGUGAAGUCCCUGCGGAUGGAGCUGAGACCAGUCGAAGAUACCAGCUGGCUGCAACUGUUUAUUAAAAACACAGCACUGUGCAAACACGAAAGUGGACGUAUACGGUGUGACGCCUGCCCGGUGCCGGAAGGUUAAUUGAUGGGGUUAUCCGUAAGGAGAAGCUCUUGAUCGAAGCCCCGGUAAACGGCGGCCGUAACUAUAACGGUCCUAAGGUAGCGAAAUUCCUUGUCGGGUAAGUUCCGACCUGCACGAAUGGCGUAAUGAUGGCCAGGCUGUCUCCACCCGAGACUCAGUGAAAUUGAACUCGCUGUGAAGAUGCAGUGUACCCGCGGCAAGACGGAAAGACCCCGUGAACCUUUACUAUAGCUUGACACUGAACAUUGAGCCUUGAUGUGUAGGAUAGGUGGGAGGCUUUGAAGCGUGGACGCCAGUCUGCGUGGAGCCAACCUUGAAAUACCACCCUUUAAUGUUUGAUGUUCUAACGUUGGCCCCUUACCGGGGUUGCGGACAGUGUCUGGUGGGUAGUUUGACUGGGGCGGUCUCCUCCCAAAGCGUAACGGAGGAGCACGAAGGUUAGCUAAUCCUGGUCGGACAUCAGGAGGUUAGUGCAAUGGCAUAAGCUAGCUUGACUGCGAGCGUGACGGCGCGAGCAGGUGCGAAAGCAGGUCAUAGUGAUCCGGUGGUUCUGAAUGGAAGGGCCAUCGCUCAACGGAUAAAAGGUACUCCGGGGAUAACAGGCUGAUACCGCCCAAGAGUUCAUAUCGACGGCGGUGUUUGGCACCUCGAUGUCGGCUCAUCACAUCCUGGGGCUGAAGUAGGUCCCAAGGGUAUGGCUGUUCGCCAUUUAAAGUGGUACGCGAGCUGGGUUUAGAACGUCGUGAGACAGUUCGGUCCCUAUCUGCCGUGGGCGCUGGAGAAUUGAGGGGGGCUGCUCCUAGUACGAGAGGACCGGAGUGGACGCAUCACUGGUGUUCGGGUUGUCAUGCCAAUGGCACUGCCCGGUAGCUAAAUGCGGAAGAGAUAAGUGCUGAAAGCAUCUAAGCACGAAACUUGCCCCGAGAUGAGUUCUCCCUGAGACUU